rnacentral:rRNA from 1 species
UACGUAGGUGGCAAGCGAUACUCGGAAUCACUAGGCGUAAAGCGCAGGUAGGCGGUUUGGUAAGUCUUUUGUGAAAGCUCCUGGCUCAACUGGGAGAGGUCAAAGGAAACUACCGGACUAGAGUGUGGUAGGGGAUACUGGAAUUCCUGGUGUAGCGGUGAAAUGCGUAGAUAUCAGGAGGAAUACCUAUGGCGAAAGCAGGUAUCUGGGCCAUCACUGACGCUGAGCUGCGAAAGCUAGGGGAGCAAACAGG